GCAGAUAUUAGAAAACAAAAAUGAUGAAAGUGUACAAUAAACUGAGCUAGACUCGUUCUAGUGAGAGUUCAAGUAAUAAUGUCAGUUGAAAGAGCUUGCCGUAUGCAGUCUCCCAUAAUCCCUUCGCUAAUAGCACGAAUAUACAUCUCGUAUUCGUAGGAUAACAAAAUCAGGAAUUUUAUCCACCUUACAAGUUCCCCUUCUAAUCAUCUGGUAGAAAAAAAAUAAUGGUUCCUAUUUAAUUUGCUUCUGCUGAGCUAAGCAAUUUUAAAUAAAGGCCAUGUUUGAUAAUAAUUUUUAAAGUAGCGUUUAGUAUUUUGACAAGAGUUAAAAUAUUAUCUCUUUUUUAGUGUCACGACCCAACCUAUG
rnacentral:misc_RNA from 1 species